GACGAACGCUGGCGGCGUGCCUAAUACAUGCAAGUUGAGCGAUGAAGAUUGGUGCUUGCACCAAUUUGAAGAGCAGCGAACGGGUGAGUAACGCGUGGGGAAUCUGCCUUUGAGCGGGGGACAACAUUUGGAAACGAAUGCUAAUACCGCAUAACAACUUUAAACAUAAGUUUUAAGUUUGAAAGAUGCAAUUGCAUCACUCAAAGAUGAUCCCGCGUUGUAUUAGCUAGUUGGUGAGGUAAAGGCUCACCAAGGCGAUGAUACAUAGCCGACCUGAGAGGGUGAUCGGCCACAUUGGGACUGGGACACGGCCCAAACUCCUACGGGAGGCAGCAGUAGGGGAUCUUCGGCAAAGGACGAAAGUCUGACCGAGCAACGCCGCGUGAGUGAAGAAGGUUUUCGGAUCGUAAAACUCUGUUGGUAGAGAAGAACGUUGGUGAGAGUGGAAAGCUCAUCAAGUGACGGUAACUACCCAGAAAGGGACGGCUAACUACGUG
rnacentral:rRNA from 1 species